AUAACAAAUAUAAGCCCCGGUUCUCGUUAGAUUACCGAAGUCAAGCUUCAUUGGGCGCGGUCAGUACUUGGGUGGGUGACCACCUGGGAACACCGCGUGC